rnacentral:rRNA from 1 species
GGCUUCGGCCUGGCGGCGAGUGGCGAACGGGUGAGUAAUACAUCGGAACGUGUCCUGUAGUGGGGGAUAGCCCGGCGAAAGCCGGAUUAAUACCGCAUACGAUCUACGGAGGAAAGCGGGGGAUCUUCGGACCUCGCGCUGUAGGGGCGGCCGAUGGCAGAUUAGCUAGUUGGUGGGGUAAAGGCCUACCAAGGCGACGAUCUGUAGCUGGUCUGAGAGGACGACCAGCCACACUGGGACUGAGACACGGCCCAGACUCCUACGGGAGGCAGCAGUGGGGAAUUUUGGACAAUGGGGGCAACCCUGAUCCAGCAAUGCCGCGUGUGUGAAGAAGGCCUUCGGGUUGUAAAGCACUUUUGUCCGGAAAGAAAACUUCGGCCCUAAUAUGGCUGGAGGAUGACGGUACCGGAAGAAUAAGCACCGGCUAACUACGUGCCAGCAGCCGCGGUAAUACGUAGGGUGCGAGCGUUAAUCGGAAUUACUGGGCGUAAAGCGUGCGCAGGCGGUCUGUUAAGACCGAUGUGAAAUCCCCGGGCUUAACCUGGGAACUGCAUUGGUGACUGGCAGGCUUUGAGUGUGGCAGAGGGAGGUAGAAUUCCACGUGUAGCAGUGAAAUGCGUAGAGAUGUGGAGGAAUACCGAUGGCGAAGGCAGCCUCCUGGGCCAACACUGACGCUCAUGCACGAAAGCGUGGGGAGCAAACAGGAUUAGAUACCC